CCUACGGGUGGCAGCAGUGAGGAAUAUUGGUCAAUGGACGAGAGUCUGAACCAGCCAAGUAGCGUGAAGGAUGACUGCCCUAUGGGUUGUAAACUUCUUUUAUAUGGGAAUAAAAUGUUCCACGUGUGGGAUUUUGUAUGUACCAUAUGAAUAAGGAUCGGCUAACUCCGUGCCAGCAGCCGCGGUAAUACGGAGGAUCCGAGCGUUAUCCGGAUUUAUUGGGUUUAAAGGGGGCGUAGGUGGAUGGUUAAGUCAGUUGUGAAAGUUUGCGGCUCAACCGUAAAAUUGCAGUGGAUACUGGCAGUCUGGAGUACAGUAGAGGUGGGCGGAAUUCGUGGUGUAGCGGUGAAAUGCUUAGAUAUCACGAAGAACUCCGAUUGCGAAGGCAGCUCACUGGACUGCAACUGACACUGAGGCUCGAAAGUGUGGGUAUCAAACAGGAUUAGAUACCCUAUAGUC
rnacentral:rRNA from 1 species